rnacentral:rRNA from 1 species
CCUACGGGUGGCAGCAGUGGGGAAUAUUGGGCAAUGGAGGAAACUCUGACCCAGCAACGCCGCGUGAAUGAUGAAGGUCUUCGGAUUGUAAAGUUCUUUUCUAAGGGAAGAAGAAAGUGACGGUACCUUAGGAAUAAGCCUCGGCUAACUAAGUGACAGCAGCCGCGGUAAUACGUAGGAGGCGAGCGUUAUCCGGAAUGACUGGGCGUAAAGGGUGCGUAGGUGGUUUGGCAAGUUAGUAGCGUAACUCCAAGGCUCAACCUUGGAACUACUACUAAAACUGAUGGACUUGAGUGCAGGGGAGGCAACCGGAAUUGCUAGUGUAGCGGUGGAAUGCGUAGAUAUUAGGAGGAACACCAGUGGCGAAGGCAGGUUGCUGGACUGUAACUGACACUGAGGCACGAAAGCGUGGGGAGCAAACAGGAUUAGAGACCCUAGUAGUC